rnacentral:rRNA from 1 species
CAGUCGCCGCGGUAAUACAGAGGGUGCAAGCGUUAAUCGGAAUUACUGGGCGUAAAGCGCGCGUAGGUGGUUUGUUAAGUUGGAUGUGAAAGCCCCGGGCUCAACCUGGGAACUGCAUCCAAAACUGGCAAGCUAGAGUACGGUAGAGGGUGGUGGAAUUUCCUGUGUAGCGGAGAAAUGCGUAGAUAUAGGAAGGAACACCAGUGGCGAAGGCGACCACCUGGACUGAUACUGACACUGAGGUGCGAAAGCGUGGGGAGCAAACAGGAUUAGAUACCCGCGUAGUCCCUGUCUCUUAUAC